rnacentral:sRNA from 2 species
GUUUGCAGCAAGCCGAGUCCAGCCCAGGAGCGGGGGAACCAAUGUCUCGCAAGGCGCUGAUCCAGGUUUUGGACAGAACCUUGCGGUAUGGGGUGAACGCAUGCCACUGCGGUGUCAGGCAGGAUUGCCUUCAUGGCAGUGCAUGCGAGGGUGGCUUUCUUCAUCCUAACCCGGCAGCUAACCUCGUAGGCGAAUAAAGAGAGGAGUG